UAGGGAAUAUUGGUCAAUGGGGGCAACCCUGAACCAGCCAUGCCGCGUGCAGGAUGACGGCCUUCUGGGUUGUAAACUGCUUUUAUAUCUGAAGAAAAAGCUAUGCGUAGUAAUAUGACGGUAGGAUAUGAAUAAGCACCGGCUAACUCCGUGCCAGCAGCCGCGGUAAUACGGAGGGUGCAAGCGUUGUCCGGAAUUAUUGGGUUUAAAGGGUGCGUAGGCGGACUUAUAAGUCAGAGCUGAAAUCCCACAGCUUAACUGUGGAACUGGCUUUGAUACUGUAAGUCUUGAGUACACUAGAGGUAGGCGGAAUUUAUGGUGUAGCGGUGAAAUGCAUAGAUACCAUAAAGAACACCGAUUGCGUAGGCAGCUUACUGGAGUGUAACUGACGCUGAGGCACGAAAGCGUGGGGAGCGAACAGGAUUAGAUACCCCCGUAGUCC
rnacentral:rRNA from 1 species